GACGAACCACACGAACGUUAUUCGGAAUUACUGGGCUUAAAGGGUGCGUAGGCUGUGCAGAAAGUUAGGUGUGAAAUCCCCCGGCUCAACCGGGGAAUUGCGCUUAAAACUACUGUGCUAGAGGAAGAUAGAGGUGAGCGGAACUUCGGGUGGAGCGGUGAAAUGCGUUGAUAUCCGAAGGAACACCGGUGGCGAAAGCGGCUCACUGGAUCUUUUCUGACGCUGAUGCACGAAAGCUAGGGGAGCAAACGGG
rnacentral:rRNA from 1 species